GUGGCAGCUUGGCGUGAGCUCCAGGCGCCCGCCGGCCCAGGACGCCCGGCCGCCCCCACCCCCCCCCCCCACCCCAAGGCUGAGGUCGCCGUCCCUAAGCCACCUCGGGCUCAGGGCUGAGGCCUGGCCCAGGCCUGGCUAAUAUUAUUUCUGGCGCUGGCCAUCAGAUGCCCCUCAAGGCCCACAGGAAUUCUCCAGGUUGCCGAUUUGCGGGGAUGAACGAGGCCCUCCUGGCGUAGGUUCAGACCAGGUGGCGGCGAGGUUCAGACCAGGUGGCGGCGAGGCGGCACCAGGGUGGUCAGCCGCGGCUUAUUCACUUGAACUUGAGUGUUUCUCGCGAAUUUGUCCAAACUAGAUACAAGAAGGACAAGUUCGAGUCUCCGACUCUUCCGCGAUCCCGCACCCCCCAGCCCCUUGCUGUCACUUGCCUUUUUUUUUUUGAGACGGAGUUUCACUCUUGUUGCCCAGGAUGGAGUGCAGUGGCACGAUCUCGGCUCACUGCAAUCUCCGCCUCCCGGGUUCAAGCGAUUCUCCUGCCUCAGCCUCCCCAGUAGCUGGGAUUACAGGCGCCCGCUACCACGACCGGAUAAUUUUUGUAUUUUUAGUAGAGACGGGGUUUCACCAUGUUGUUCAGGCUGGUCUUCAACUCCUGACAUCAGGUUAUCCGCCCGCCUCGGCCUCCCAAAGUGCUGGGAUUAUAAGCGUGAGCCACCGCGCCCGACCUGUCUCUUGCUUUUAAAAGCUCCACCAAUGUGAUGUUUCCUUUUCUAUCAGUAGUAAAUAUAAGGGGCCGCAGGGAACAAAUGACAGAAGUAGAGAGGAAGAAGGUGGCGUUCCUAGAGGACUCAGAAGAGCUGAGGACCCUUAGUUCCCAUGGUCUCUCUGCUAGCUUUUCUAGUCCUUUCCGUGUAAUGCACACCCCCACUCCCAGGCAAGGGGCUGCUUUCUGUGAACUUCCCUGAGCAAGUCCCCAGGCCCUCAGUUUGUGCACCCUUUAAAGUGAGGACCAAAUAUAAUAUUUACUAUUAAGCAAAAUAAUGCUAUGUUUUAUUUAUUUAUUUAUUUAUUUAUUUAUUGAGACAGAGUUUCGCUCUUGUUGCCCAGGCUGGAGUGCAAUGGCACGAUCUCGGCUCACUGCAACCUCCACCUCCCGGGUUCAAGCGAUUCUCCUGCUUCAGCCUCCUGAGUAGCUGGGAUUACAGGCAUGCGCCACCACGCCCGGCUAAUUUUUUGUAUUUUUAGUAGAGACAGGGUUUCUCCAUGUUGGUCAGGCUGAUCUUGAACUCCCGACCUGAGGUGAUCUGCCUGUCUCAGCCUCCCAAAGUGCUGGGAUUACAGGCGUGAGCCACAGCACCUGGCCUCUGUAUUUUUUAAAUUCGAAAAGUAAUACAGACAUAUUGAAGAAAGUUUGGAGAUAAAAGUAAAAAUAAAAUCAUC
rnacentral:lncRNA from 10 species